CAGCCCCCACCCUAAACCACAGCUCAAGUGGUAGCCACAACUAUUGGGCUUAAAGCGUCCGUAGCCGGCCUAGUAAGUUCUCUGUGAAAUCCUUAGGCUUAACCUAAGGGCUGGCAGAGAAUACUGCCAGGCUAGGAGCCGGGARAGGUUGAGGGAAUUCCAGGGGUAGCGGUGAAAUGCUAUAAUCCUUGGAGGACCACCAAUGGCGAAAGCACUCAACCAGAACGGCCUCGACGGUGAGGGACGAAAGCUAGGGGAGCAAACCGGAUUAAAUACCCGGGUAGUCCUAGCUGCAAACGAUGCGGACUGAGUGUUUCUUGAACUUCCAGUUCGAGAAGCGCUGAAGGAAAACUGUUAAGUCCGCCGCCUGGGGAGUACGGCCGCAAGGCUGAAACUUUAAGGAAUUGGCGGGGGGAAC
rnacentral:rRNA from 1 species